UGUAAGCAUAUACCAAAGUUGUUGCAGUUAAAACGCUCGUAGUCGGAAUUUGGCAGUUCCGGAUGUGUGCACGUCGUGUGCGCACUUCGCGGGGAUUGCUUUUGUGGUCUUGCGUAGGAUGAGGCACUUUUAUUAGUGAACGUCCUCACGCAACCACUUUUUACUGUGAGAAAAUCAGAGUGCUCAAAGCAGGCAUUUGCCGUGAAUGUAUUAGCAUGGAAUAAUAGAAUAGGACUUGGUUCUAUUUUGUUGGUUUGUUGGGACUGAGUAAUGAUUAAGAGGGACAGUUGGGGGCAUUUGUAUUUCGGUGCUAGAGGUGAAAUUCUUAGAUUACCGAAAGACAAACUGCUGCGAAAGCGUCUGCCAAGGAUGUUUUCAUUGA
rnacentral:rRNA from 1 species